GGAAAGGCCCGCUGUCUGAAAUCGCUCACUACUAACUAUUGAGUGAACUAUAUAUACCAUCAUGCAUUGCACAGAUAGAAAAAUGAUGGCCGACCAGGAGAGAGAGAGAGCUGCGUGAAAACAGCAGUCUGUUGUACAAAUGGAUGUCACGAGGAACGAUACUUUGGUACCGAAGGUAACGGAGAACCAACACGUGGAAGAUGGUGACCAGUGCAGCUUCAGCGACAGCUCCGCCUCGACGUGUGUGGAGAGUUGUGUUGACGGAGAUGGGCCUUGCCGGCGUGGUUUCUCCUGCCCGAGCAGCCAAGACGUGUGAGAACUUUAAGACAUACAAGCAGCUCAGGAGGCCACCAACAGGGAGAGGCACUGAAUCAGGGGAGCCCACUGCUGGGACAUGGAAGUGGUUCUCUCUCAUGAUGAGGCCUCCAUGCCUCAAUGCCUCAAUGCCUCAGCCUGAGGCAAAAAGGUUUUUUGGGAAACACUGCUGGUUUUCUGAUGAAUGUGAUUUAGGAUAAAAUAAUUUGAAGGCGACGUGUCAACCCACACAAACAGAAAGAUAUGUUCAGCCCCAUCGUCAUGUUGAUGUUGCUUUUUUAAUAUCCGAGCCGUGUUGCUCUCGUCGCAUUUAGCUUCUGGAUAAAUGUUUGUCUGGUGUGGCCUUAAAAUAGCAUCUUAAAUGACACAUUUUUACAUUACCGCUGGUGAUAAGCGUGAUGGGCUGUCAAUGGGUCGCCUUAACGAAAUGUAGCAUCCCAAAUCCCCUCUCAGCUGCACUAAUCUGAUGUGAGGAGAGGGAGGGAGGGAGGAGGGCUGUUAACCCGAAGAUCGACCACUGAGGUUCAGACACACACGGAACAUGGAUGGUCACUCAGGGAGCUGUCCAAGUCUCCUAAUGCCUGCUGGGAUAUAUAGUCUCUGUAGCUCUUUAUACAAGGCAUGCUGGGAGAUGGUCGUCUCUUCAGCCUGGUGCACCCAGAAGGGUCCAACAGCAGACUUCAUGUCUGCAAGCCACAAAGAAGAGAGUACAGUCACUAGAUUUGAUUGAUUGAUUGAUCAACUGUUCUGCACAAUUACUUUUGCUUA